CUUCCUCCAGAGAAUCUCAUCAUCAAGCUAGGAUAGAGACUAGGGGGUGCACUCUCUGCCCAGCCUGAAAAUGAGGGACGUGAAAUUCGCAAACAUAAAUGUUGGCCAAUAGGAUCAUUGGAUCCUUCAUCUAGCCCCUGGCAGCCUAAGACAGUUACCCUACAUUACUGGGAGAAAAGCAUGAAGACUCAGACUUGACACUGACCUCUAGUAGCAGGCAGUUUGUUGCAAAUUUAACAACUAUGCAGAACGUGGUUGUCAUAGCCUUGCCAGCUGCACUAGGUGUCACUGUGUGAACUUCUACUGAAUGAAAGAAUAAAAAAGGAAGAGAGAAGAAAGAGAUAGGGUCACAGCAGCCUUGAACUCCUGGGCUCAAGUGAUACUCCAGCCUCAGCCCCCUGGGUAGCUGGGAUUACAGGUACCAACCACCACGCCUAGCUGUGGGUCACCAUUUAAAAACUGCUGGGCAUGAAGGUCACGAUCAUUUGAGGAAAGAUCAAAGGAAGAACCUUUUAAACUAACUUACCGAGCUUUAUAUUGACCUCUUCUAAUCAGAGGCUGAGAUGGAGAAAGUGAACGAGUUCACCAAACGGCAGAUACGGAAGUAAGAAGAUGAUCGGGAAAGCUCUAUCGGGUCUGUGCAGAUUGACAGUGGCCUCUGAUAUUUUCGGCAUAGGUGCAAGCAUAGGAAGGACUAUAUUCGCAGUGUUCAGCCUGUGCAGUCACACUUAGAAGAAGGGCCCAUGCUUGGUUUAAUGUUCUGCUGUCACGUUCUUGGAAUUUUAAAUAAUUUUGAACAAGGGGCCCCUUAUUUUCAUCUUGCACUACCCCCUGCAAAUUACAUAGCCAGCCUUGAGGUUUACUAUGCUAGGGCUUUAUUUUUGUUGAGUACUGCUCCUGACAGAAUAUUAAAACAAAAAUACUGCUAAAUUCUUAGAAAUUGGUUUCAUGUGAUACAAGUGGAUUCCAGGAAGAAGCUAUGUUUAUCAACUGAAAUUUAGCCUUUCCUUGUUAUUAAGACAAAAUCUCUUAGUAAGUACCAUUUCUUUUAACUAGCUUUUUUUGCCAGGAACUUUAUUUCUUCUUUUUCAACUGCCUCAUUGGUUCUACAAGACAGUAAACUUGUAGACAUUACAAUUUGGGCUUCCAGUAAGAAGCCAAAAGGGUGAUUGUUUGCUGUGAGUGGUGCAGGAAAGUAGAAUUUAAGACAUAAUGACCUAUAGGAGAGUACAAGAUAGGCACUACGGGUUGUAGUCAGCAGAUGGGCAGCUGGGGUUGAUUGUUUCUGAAGCUGGUGAAAGCAACUUCUGAGAAGGAUCAGCUAGAGUAAACAUUUUCCUGCUAAUAGAAGACUUCUUUUAUCAUCCAGAUUUUCACUUAGCAUUUCGUCCAUAAUUAUUUAGACAUCAUUGGAUCCUAUUUAAGUCUUUAGAAAUCUUAUGCAUUACAAUUCAGGAAAAGGAGACUCACUCCCAUGUUGUCUCAUAAACAGACUUUAGAAGUUCUAAAAUAACCAAAGGAAUGGGCACUAAAAGGGAUGGUAGAAUUUCUAAACUGAGCAUCUAUGUGGAGAAGUUCUCUAGCCCCAAGAUGCUAGUUCCAAACUUGACUUCUUAUAACCCUGAGUCGUGUUUUUUAGAUUAUGGCUUUCAUGCUAGGAAGAAAGAAAAUUCUCUAGAGAAAACAGCUUUUUGUCACGAAUAAAAUAAUUUGUACAAUAAUAAACUUGCUAAAUAUUUACCUAAUCAGGAGAGAUGAUAGGAAAUAGUAAUUUUUAAACCUGCCAGUUUUAUUAUUAGUUUAUUAUGCCAGUUUUAAAUAGUGGAAAUCCUUUCUUUAAAUGUAUGCUUUUAUGGCAGCCCAGCAUAAUAA
rnacentral:lncRNA from 10 species